rnacentral:rRNA from 1 species
UGGGGAAUCUUGCGCAAUGGGCGAAAGCCUGACGCAGCGACGCCGCGUGAGGGAUGACGGCCUUCGGGUUGUAAACCUCUUUCAGCCCUGGCGAAGCGAAAGUGACGGUAGGGGCAGAAGAAGCACCGGCCAACUACGUGCCAGCAGCCGCGGUAAUACGUAGGGUGCAAGCGUUGUCCGGAAUUAUUGGGCGUAAAGAGCUCGUAGGUGGCCUGUCGCGUCGGCUGUGAAAACUCGGGGCUCAACUCCAGAGCUUGCAGUCGAUACGGGCAGGCUGGAGUGCGGCAGGGGAGACUGGAAUUCCUGGGUGUAGCGGU